UACAGAGGUCUCAAGCGUUGUUCGGAUUCAUUGGGCGUAAAGGGUGCGUAGGCGGCGCGGUAAGUCGGGUGUGAAAUCUCGGGGCUUAACUCCGAAACUGCAUUCGAUACUGCCGUGCUUGAGGACUGGAGAGGAGACUGGAAUUUACGGUGUAGCGGUGAAAUGCGUAGAUAUCAGGAGGAACACCGAUGGCGAAGGCAGCUCGCUGGGACGGUACUGACGCUGAGGCGCGAAAGCGUGGGGAGCAAACAGG
rnacentral:rRNA from 1 species